UACGUAGGGUGCAAGCGUUGUCCGGAAUUAUUGGGCGUAAAGAGCUCGUAGGCGGUUUGUCGCGUCUGCUGUGAAAAUCCAGGGCUUAACCCUGGACCUGCAGUGGGUACGGGCAGACUAGAGUGCGGUAGGGGAGAUCGGAAUUCCUGGUGUAGCGGUGAAAUGCGCAGAUAUCAGGAGGAACACCGGUGGCGAAGGCGGAUCUCUGGGCCGUAACUGACGCUGAGGAGCGAAAGCAUGGGGAGCGAACG
rnacentral:rRNA from 1 species